rnacentral:rRNA from 1 species
UGUGCACUUGAUGUCGGAGCUAAUACUUUGAGAAAAUUAGAGUGUUCCACGCAGGCGCGUGCCUUGAAUACUGCAGCAUGGGAUAUUGGAAGGCCGAUUGAGCUUUCUUGUUGGUUCUCGGUUUGAUCGGAAUGAUUAAUAGGGAUAGUUGGGGUCACUCGUAUUUCAUUGUCAGAGG